AACGCUGAUCUAUAUCAAGAUCAACUCAACGAGAUCUAUAAUAUUUAAUAUAGACAUAUGCAUCGACACCCGCCCUUUUAAAGUUUUUAUAAAUAGAAAGGAUGAGGGGGUUGGAGAUCUCGAAUGUGGUGAUGUUGGAAAAACCAAUGGAUUGGGAAGAUGUUGCAUAUGAGCAUGGAGUAAAUGAAGUGGCUAUGAAAUAAAUUCCAUGCUCAUUAAUGCUUAGAGAGAAAUCCAUGUGGUAUGGUGAAAAUGAUUAGGUGAG
rnacentral:lncRNA from 1 species